ensembl:lncRNA
UUAACAGGUGACUUAUCAAUACUUUAAGAUGCAUUAUGAUGAGUAUUGUUUUAAGCUUGUGUGCAUGACAAAUAACACGUUAGAUACUCUGUACUAGUCAUAUAUCUGUUACAUAGUACACUGUAAAAUGUAAUAUUGUGUUUAAUUAAAAAUAUUAAAUAGGCUGAACUCAAUUUUUAUCAAUUUGUUAUUAGAACUCAAUUUAAAUAAGUUACCAGUACUUUUUAUGCAAAAAUGCUGAUAAACUCCAUUUAUUUGAGUUGUCUUAACUUAGAAUAACUAAGUAAGCUGGAAGUUUUGCUUCUCAGUGCGGAAGGAUGAAAGAUGUGUUUUGAAAAUGCCACGUGACUACCGUCCUCCUCCCUCUCGGAUCAGUCCGCAUGUUCACGGUGCAUUUUUUAUGGAAUAUGUUGAGCAAACCUGGAGAAGCGUCAGCUCAAGAUAUUAUUGUUGUCAUUGCUGUGGAUCUUUACCUGAUACACUGACUUGGCUCGGGACCAGCACUCCUGUUGUUGGACAGAAAGACAUCAACUCAGUGGUAAGUAUUUUGGUUUUCCAAUAUAUUAGCAACUGUCAGUGACAUUUAUAUUAAUCAGGCUGAACUUUAAUCAUACUUUAGAUCAGCCUGUUUUACUUAUUGUUUUGUUUGUGCUUUGGUUUGGGGAAGUUGUUUCUUUACUGAUCUUUUCCUGUCUUCUGUUAUUAGACUUGUGAUAUGACUGCACUGUGCUGUUGCUGGUGACUCCAGUUAAUUCUACAAGACAUGCUGUGUAAGUAAACAAACAACAACAACAGUUUGGUCUGCAUUUCUUGAAAGAUCACAUCCCCCAAACUUAGUUUAGAGGGUCUACACUGUAUAUAGUGAAGUCUGCAAGUUUUCUAACAGCAAAAUCUGUUUUGUGCCCAAAAUCAUUUUGCACAUCAUUAGAAUGAAAGUUAUUGGCCAUGUUUGCAUAGCCCUUUUUUAAAAUGAUGCUUUCAUGACAUUAUUGUGUGUUGGGUGGUGGUCAGGGCUAUGCAGACUGACAAUUUGGGACAUUGAAUGUCACCUCUCCGGUGGGGAGGGAGCCUGAAAUUGUCUAAAUUGGAGUCUGUUCUAUACCAAAUGCAGAAAAAAAUGUUUUAAGAAAGCAAUUAAGUUCAUGUUCCAAAAAAUAUGAUUGUUUGCUUGCAGGACAACAGGAGAGAUGAGUCCUCCGUCACAGAUGGUGUGGUCAGUGAAGAUGGUCGCCUGCAGGUUCAAGCUCAUUGCAUUUCCAACCCACAUCCACUGCCACUGUACUUAAGGGAAGUUAAAGACUUUCUUCUGCACCUACAUUUGGAUCACCUCGAUCCAUGACAGUCAUUCAGGCAGUAAUGUCUGGACUGGAAACAAGCCAUCCUUAAAAUAAUACAACAUUCCAGCUCAUGUGUUGGAAUGGAAAACAAAUGUGUUGUUUAAAUUAGAGACUGCACUUGUGACAGAACAAUAAAUAUUUUAUUUUGAUUAUAUAAGUAAUGUAAGUACAAAACAAACUGUGGUAGACCUAAACUUAUUUUCAGAAUAAUUACAUCUGAGACUUUGUUUCAUUGUAAAAUUAUAACAGUGAUGGCAAUAUAAUUGUUUGUUGUUCAGCAGAACAGUGUCCAGUAUGUUGGCUGUUAUACUUUGUUGUGUUUGAAAAUAAAAGUUGGGCUCAUUUUAACAUCAUUACAAAAAUUGUUGUUAAUUAUUUUUAAUCAUAUUCAGGUUACCACAAAUUGUUUUUUCAUUUAGUUGAACUUAACAUGUUUGUCAGUAGGUAAACAAUUAGUAUUGUACAGUCAGAAAUAUCAAGUUAUUGUUAAUACUGCAGAUUUGCAAUGUAUAAGUUGUCCUAACAGUCAUCUUAAGUAAGCUUUACUUAGUUUUUUUGAGGCAACGAGUUUCCAUAAUUUUUUUGAGUUCUGGGAACUAACACGGCUGUACAGUGUACUCAAAAUGAGUAAGUUGCCCUAACUUGGUCAUCUUACGUAAACUUGAUCCAAUUUUUUUGAGUUCUGGGAACAAAUGAGCUUGUACAGAGUACUCAAAGUAAAUAAGUUGUCCUAACUUAGUCAUUUUUAGCUAAGCUUUACUCAAUUUUUUUGAGGCAACGAGUUUCCAUAAUUUUUUUGAGUUCUGGGAACUAAUUAGAUUUUACAGUGUAGUUACAUAUUAUCUUGUAACAAUUUAUAUGUUGAAAUUUAAAAAAAAAAAAAAAUCUACCUUCACAUGUUACAAUUUAUGUGAUACAGGUGAUUGAAAGGCUGUGUGUUCAUCUUUAAGAUCCUGACCCCACCUGGGCAGUGCAGAUCAGUCCUGUCAGUGACAGAAAGCAUGAUCUUGUUCAUCUUCUGUUUAGUCUGGCUCUAGCUGCUUUGUCUAUGUGAGAGACGGGAAGUGAGAUACAGCUUGGUGAAGGUUCUGGUUCUGAUACAGCUUCAGUGUCUGCUCGGCAUUAUGGUGCUUGUUUAACCACAGCCAUGACCAGGGCUAAUUCAGAUGUUGUUAAGGAUAACAAUGUUGAGAAAAAAUGAAAUGAUGCCAUGUGUUCUGAUAUUUUC